ACCCUAAAACCUCAAAUCGGACGCAAGCGUGCGAGCGAAAGAGAGAAAGUUAGAUUGAUGAAUGAUGAUGGGUUGUUGAAUUGAAUAUGAGAAACCCUAAAACCCGAAAUCGAUCGGAAUAAUUGCGAGGGAAAGAAAGAUAGUGCGAAAGCGAAAGAAACAAAGUGUGAUCGAUGGAUUGACGAUGAUGUUGGGUUUUUCGGUAUACUGUUG
rnacentral:lncRNA from 1 species